rnacentral:rRNA from 1 species
CAGUAGCCGCGGUAAUACAGAGGGUGCAAGCGUUAAUCGGAAUUACUGGGCGUAAAGCGCGCGUAGGUGGUUUGUUAAGUUGGAUGUGAAAUCCCCGGGCUCAACCUGGGAACUGCAUCCAAAACUGGCAAGCUAGAGUAUGGUAGAGGGUGGUGGAAUUUCCUGUGUAGCGGUGAAAUGCGUAGAUAUAGGAAGGAACACCAGUGGCGAAGGCGACCACCUGGACUGAUACUGACACUGAGGUGCGAAAGCGUGGGGAGCAAACAGGAUUAGAGACCCCCGUAGUCCCUGUCUCUUAUAC